UACGUAGGGACCGAGCGUUGUCCGGAUUCAUUGGGCGUAAAGAGCUCGUAGGCGGCCACUCAAGUCGAAUGUGAAACCUCGAGGCUUAACCUCGAGCCUGCAUUCGAUACUGGGCGGCUAGAGUCUGGUAGGGGGAUCUGGAAUUCCUGGUGUAGCGGUGGAAUGCGUAGAGAUCCGGAGGAACACCAGUGGCGAAGGCGGCUCACUGGUCCGGUACUGACGCUGAGGUGCGAAAGCGUGGGGAGCAAACAGG
rnacentral:rRNA from 1 species